rnacentral:rRNA from 1 species
AAUAGAUACCCAGGUAGUCCACGCCGUAAACGAUGAGUGCUAAGUGUUGGGGGUUUCCGCCCCUCAGUGCUGCAGCUAACGCAUUAAGCACUCCGCCUGGGGAGUACGGUCGCAAGACUGAAACUCAAAGGAAUUGACGGGGGCCCGCACAAGCGGUGGAGCAUGUGGUUUAAUUCGAAGCAACGCGAAGAACCUUACCAGGUCUUGACAUCCCGGUGACCACUAUGGAGACAUAGUUUCCCCCUUCGGGGGCAACGGUGACAGGUGGUGCAUGGUUGUCGUCAGCUCGUGUCGUGAGAUGUUGGGUUAAGUCCCGCAACGAGCGCAACCCUUAUUCUUAGUUGCCAUCAUUCAGUUGGGCACUCUAAGGAGACUGCCGGUGAUAAACCGGAGGAAGGUGGGGAUGACGUCAAAUCAUCAUGCCCCUUAUGACCUGGGCUACACACGUGCUACAAUGGACGGUACAAACGGUUGCCAACCCGCGAGGGGGAGCUAAUCCGAUAAAACCGUUCUCAGUUCGGAUUGUAGGCUGCAACUCGCCUAC